rnacentral:rRNA from 1 species
UUGCACUUGGUAGACUGAGUGGCGGACGGGUGAGUAACGCGUGAGCAACCUGCCCAUAAGAGGGGGACAACAGCUGGAAACGGCUGCUAAUACCGCAUAAGACCACACUAGCACAUGCUAGAGGGGUAAAAGAUUUAUCGCUUAUGGAUGGGCUCGCGUCCCAUUAGCUAGUUGGUGAGGUAACGGCUCACCAAGGCGACGAUGGGUAGCCGACCUGAGAGGGUGAUCGGCCACACUGGAACUGAGACACGGUCCAGACUCC